rnacentral:rRNA from 1 species
AGUGAACGCUGGCGGUAGGCCUAACACAUGCAAGUCGAACGGCAGCACAGUAAGAGCUUGCUCUUACGGGUGGCGAGUGGCGGACGGGUGAGGAAUACAUCGGAAUCUACUUUUUCGUGGGGGAUAACGUAGGGAAACUUACGCUAAUACCGCAUACGACCUACGGGUGAAAGCAGGGGAUCUUCGGACUUUGCGCGAUUGAAUUAGCCGAUGUCGGAUUAGCUAGUUGGCGGGGUAAAGGCCCACCAAGGCGACGAUCCGUAGCUGGUCUGAGAGGAUGAUCAGCCACACUGGAACUGAGACACGGUCCAGACUCCUACGGGAGGCAGCAGUGGGGAAUAUUGGACAAUGGGCGCAAGCCUGAUCCAGCCAUACCGCGUGAGUGAAGAAGGCCUUCGGGUUGUAAAGCCCUUUUGUUGGGAAAGAAAAGCAGUAUGUUAAUACCCCGCUGUUCUGACGGUACCCAAAGAAUAAGCACCGGCUAACUUCGUG